rnacentral:rRNA from 1 species
UACAGAGGGGGCAAGCGUUGUUCGGAAUUACUGGGCGUAAAGGGCGCGUAGGCGGCCAACUAAGUCAGACGUGAAAUCCCUCGGCUUAACCGGGGAACUGCGUCUGAUACUGGAUGGCUUGAAUCCGGGAGAGGGAUGCGGAAUUCCAGGUGUAGCGGUGAAAUGCGUAGAUAUCUGGAGGAACACCGGUGGCGAAGGCGGCAUCCUGGACCGGCAUUGACGCUGAGGAGCGAAAAGCGUGGGGGAGCAAACAGGG